GACGCGAUGGCCGAGUGGUUAAGGCGAUUGACUCGAAUAUUGACAUCAAUUUCCCUCUGGGAGCACAGGUUCAAGUCCUGUUCGCGUCG
rfam:Exidia glandulosa HHB12029 unplaced genomic scaffold EXIGLscaffold_133, whole genome shotgun sequence.